GGCGAAUUAGCUCAGUCGGUUAGAGCAACGGAAUCAUAAUCCGCAGGUCCCCCGUUCGAGUCGGGGAUUCGCCACCA
rnacentral:tRNA from 1 species